GAUGAACGCUGGCGGCGUGCCUAAUACAUGCAAGUCGAGCGAACGGACGAGAAGCUUGCUUCUCUGAUGUUAGCGGCGGACGGGUGAGUAACACGUGGAUAACCUACCUAUAAGACUGGGAUAACUUCGGGAAACCGGAGCUAAUACCGGAUAAUAUUUAGAACCGCAUGGUUCAAAAGUGAAAGACGGUCCUGCUGUCACUUAUAGAUGGAUCCGCGCUGCAUUAGCUAGUUGGUAAGGUAACGGCUUACCAAGGCAACGAUGCAUAGCCGACCUGAGAGGGUGAUCGGCCACACUGGAACUGAGACACGGUCCAGACUCCUACGGGAGGCAGCAGUAGGGAAUCUUCCGCAAUGGGCGAAAGCCUGACGGAGCAACGCCGCGUGAGUGAUGAAGGUCUUCGGAUCGUAAAACUCUGUUAUUAGGGAAGAACAUAUGUGUAAGUAACUGUGCACAUCUUGACGGUACCUAAUCAGAAAGCCACGGCUAACUACGUG
rnacentral:rRNA from 1 species